AGUUGUUGAAACCUAUUUCAGGGAGAUUGAGAGCCCAGUGGGAAAUGGGCAUUGUCCAGGCUGAGGAAGCUGCUAGCAUGUCAGUAGAGGAGCGGAAAGCCAAGUUUACUUUCCUUUAUGUGGGGGACCAACUGCGCCUCAACCCUCAAGUGGCUAAGGAGGCUGGCAUUGCUACAGAACCUUUGGGAGAAAUGGUGGACUCUUCAGUGGCCAAUGAAGAAGCUGCUGUAGACCCUGGGACUAUGAGAGAAGAGGACAUUCCCGUAAAGAGAAGGCGAAGAGCCAAAAGGUCUAGUUCUGCUGAGAACCAGGAAGGAGACCCCGGCACAGAAAAGAGUACACCUCCAAAGAUGGCGGAUGCUGAACCUAAGAGAGGCGUAGGUUCUCCUGCCGGGAGGAAAAGGUCCACAGGAUCUGCCUCACGGAGCAGAAAGGGAGACUCAGCAGCCCAGUUCUUAGUCUUUUGUCAAAAACACAGGGAUGAGGUGUAGCUGAACACCCAGAUGCCUCAGAGGAGGAGAUUGAAGAAUUGCUUGGGUCCCAAUGGAGCAUGCUCAAUGAAAAGCAGAAAGCACGAUAUAAUACAAAGUUUUCCCUAAUGAUCUCUGCCCAGUCUGAAGAAGACUCUGGAAAUACCAGUGGGAAAAAAAGGACCCACACAAAAAGGACAGAUGACCCUCCUGAGGAUGUGGAUGUAGAAGACGCACCCAGGAAAAGACUUAGGACAGAUAAGCACAGUCUUCGGAAGAGAGAGACAAUCACCGACAAAACGGCCAGAACGAGCUCGUACAAGGCUAUAGAGGCAGCCUCCUCACUCAAGAGCCAGGCAGCAACGAAAAAUUUGUCUGAUGCUUGCAAACCACUGAAGAAGCGAAAUCGGGCUUCUGCAACAGCGUCUUCAGCACUUGGGUUUAACAAAAGUUCAUCUCCUUCUGCAUCCUUAACUGAGAAUGAGCUUUUAUGGGAGCCCACAUCAGUCAAGUUGGACUUGAACUCAGCCGCCCUGUACUGCACUUAGAAUGAUGUAAUACCCCAAGAUGUCUGCUGCAGGUGGUGCCUCAUCGUAUACACU
rnacentral:lncRNA from 1 species